rnacentral:tRNA from 1 species
UCCCUGUUGGCUCAGAGGUUAAAGCGUCUGCCUGCAAUGUGGGAGACCUGGGUUUGAUCCCUGGGUUGGGAA